rnacentral:rRNA from 1 species
GACAGAGGGUGCAAACGUUGUUCGGAAUUACUGGGCGUAAAGCGCACGUAGGUGGCGACGUAAGUCGGGUGUGAAAGCCCCGGGCUCAACCUGGGAAUUGCAUUCGAGACUGCAUUGCUGGAGUACGGAAGAGGAGGGCGGAAUUCCCGGUGUAGCGGUGAAAUGCGUAGAUAUCGGGAGGAACAUCAGUGGCGAAGGCGGCCCUCUGGUCCAGUACUGACACUCAAGUGCGAAAGCGUGGGGAGCAAACAGG